ncrna:unclassified sequences Proteo-phage-1 RNA
CCCGAGGCUGGCGGGCCUAAGGGAUAGCCAGCCGCCCCCAGCCGGCAUGUGGGGUUUAUGAAAACAGCCGGCAGCC